rnacentral:lncRNA from 14 species
CUGAUGAGGAGGAUGCAGAUGUGGAAAGCAUUAUGGAGAGAGAUUUGAGAAGGUCCCUGAGUGGCUGAAUUUGCAGGUGGUUUUACAAUUGAAGUGUACUAUAUGGGCCAUUCAUCUCUGGAGACAUUUGAUACUGCCUGAAAAAUACAGUUUGUUUUAUG